rnacentral:lncRNA from 1 species
CCCAGUAGGACUGAAAACCAAAGUAAAGCAAACACCAAAAAUACAAGAAAACUUCUAAAGGAAUUGGUUGUUUUGAUCUAAAUUUUUGAAGUUUUGUAUGAUUUUCUUUUCCUGCAGUGAGAUGUAGAGCUUCAAAGAUCCAGCAGCAGACUUUAUUAAAGUUCCCUGAAGUUCUGCUGUGAAGCGCGCAGUGACUGAGUUGGCUGCAGUAAUCUGGCCGACACAAACAGGAUCUGGAUGGUUAGUGAGAAUGAAAUAAGCUCAUCAAGGAGAACAUGUCAUCCCAAAGCCUGAUUCAAUAACGCCCGUAUUCCGCCUAAUGGGAUCUAAUGGGAAAGUAGCACACUGUGUUUGGGGCCAUUCGGGACAACCCCAUCAAAGAAUCGCUUCCAGCCUUUUGAAAAUAGUUUACUGGGAAAACAAAAAUAUACCUUUAUGCUAGAAUUAGAUCCAUUUUUAUAAACAUUUUGAACUCUCUAAGCCUUUUAUUGCUCUUAAUGUUUAUUAAUUGAGGAUCAUUUUACAGAAAAUGUUUAUUUAGAGAAUAAUAAAGAUUUAGGUGUCUUAAGUGAAUUUAGGGAGACUAUAUUUAUUUGUGAAUUAAUACGUUUUAUCUAAUGGCUGCAAAAAUGAAGGCAAGAAUGCCAUGAAUGACCUUUGAUCUUUUCGUGUGCCGCAGAUUUCCGGCUUCCGAUUCUUCACAAUGUUAAAAAUACAAAAAACAAAAAACGUCCACCACGUGAGCUCCAUCCAAGGGUUUAUGGUGCUGAUUAGAUCAGCUUAAGCCUCUGGAAGUGGUUAAUGGUCUUUCCUGGUGUUGGUAAGUAGCUGCAAGUGGCUGACACCAGCUCUCAGACGCCAGUGGUCCGGCAUGGACCCAAAGCUCCCAAACGAAGCCCGGCUUUAGGAAAAAACCAUCUGCUGGAGAAACAUCUACAUUUCUGAGAAUACUUUGAUCUUGUUUUCACAGCCUGUUCCUACUAGUCAUGCAGCAGCAACAGCAGCAGCAGCAGCAACGUGUCUUUUAUGUCCUGCACACUCCAGCUUCUUUUACAAUGCGAGCUCUGGACACUAAUGGGAAGCAGCUCAGCAUGCAUGCUGUAAGACAAACUCCAGAGAACUCUCCUCCCAAAAAAGUACAGAGACCCUUCAGAUCAACGGUACAAGGAAAAGGGGGUGCUGCUCAUGUCCACAUCGCAUGGGGGAUUUACUUCCACAAACAACUGAAGAAAAUGCAAGAAGAAAACAAAAGCCUUUAUCUCCAACCCUCGCCCAAGUCUCCACACAGAUAUUUACCUGACUCAACGCCAUAUAAGGAGUCACAGCAUCUAUGCAGGGGACACCCUAAUGCAGGUUCUUAUCGCAGCCAAGGAACACCAUCAGAAGAGGUGGAGGACUCGGACUCUGCCGAAGAGAAACUUGAUGAGCCGAUGAAAUACAUUAGAACUGAAAACACUCCAACAACGGAAGUAAACGUGCGAUACUCACUUUACAGCAAGAAGCAGCUGCAGUGGGACAGGUCCAUCCAAGAGGGAAGAGUCAAGCCCCAAACCAAAGACAGUCAUGGUCAUCCUUCUUUAUCUGGAUACCCAAACUCCAUUUUGGUCACCACACCUUCCACGCACCCCCCCCCCAAACAAUCGACUGCAGACAGGUUUCUAUGUGUUCCAUCCUAA